rnacentral:rRNA from 1 species
GUGGAUGACACGUUAGUGUCAUGGUAGGAGAGCGUUCUAUGUGUGAAGAAGGUGUACCGUGAGGAGCGCUGGAACGCAUAGAAGUGAGAAUGCCGGUAUGAGUAGCGAAAGACAGGUGAGAAUCCUGUCCACCGUAAGACUAAGGUUUCCAGGGGAAGGCUCGUCCGCCCUGGGUUAGUCGGGACCUAAGGAGAGACCGAAAGGUGUAUCCGAUGGCCAACAGGUUGAUAUUCCUGUACUAGAGUAUAAAGUGAUGGAGGGACGCAGUAGGCUAACUAAAGCAGGCGAUUGGAAGAGCCUGUCUAAACAGUGAGGUGUAAGAUGAGUCAAAUGCUUAUCUUUAUAACAUUGAGCUGUGAUGGGGAGCGAAGUUAAGUAGCGAAGUUAGUGACGUCACACUGCCAAGAAAAGCUUCUAGCGUUUAAUUAUACUCUACCCGUACCGCAAACCGACACAGGUAGUCGAGGCGAGUAGCCUCAGGUGAUCGAGAGAACUCUCGUUAAGGAACUCGGCAAAAUGACCCCGUAACUUCGGGAGAAGGGGUGCUGACUUAGGUCAGCCGCAGUGAAUAGGCCCAAGCAACUGUUUAUCAAAAACACAGCUCUCUGCUAAAUCGUAAGAUGAUGUAUAGGGGGUGACGCCUGCCCGGUGCUGGAAGGUUAAGAGGAGGGUUUAGCGUAAGCGAAGAUCUGAAUUGAAGCCCCAGUAAACGGCGGCCGUAACUAUAACG